AGGGCCACAUCUGUGGCAUAUGGAGAUUCCCAGGCUAGGGGUCGAAUUGGAGCUGUAGCCACUGGCCUAUACCACAAUGCCAGAUCUGAGCUGCAUCUGUAAUUUAAACCACAGUUCAUGGCAAAGACAGAUCCUUAACCACUGAGUGAGGCCAGGGACUGAACCUGCAUCCUCAUGCAUCCUCAUUUCCGCUGAGCCACGAUGGGAACUCCUAUUGUCUUUUUAAAUGAAACUUUAUCAUUCAUUCAGUUAUAAAGAAAAGCAUAGGUAUCUUAGAAUCCAACACAAUUACUGAUACUCUCUUAGGCAGAUUUGACAGGCUCAUCAAUAGAUAAAAUGAGAACUCAGACCUCAAUGGGCAUUCCCAAAGGUGGGGUAAACAUUGUGCACAGAUGCUAGAGACCACCUAACUGCUGAGCUCUGCAAAAGGCAGACUUGGUGUGUGCAAGGGCACAAUAAGCCAAGGAAUGAUUAUGGUGGCAAUGGUCAGAUAGGCAUACAUGCUGACGCAGAGUUCUAAAGUACAGGGUCUCCUCCUAAGAUAAAAUAAGGGACUAAUACAAUCACUUUGCUGUCCUGUGAGCAACUGCACUGUGACCUAGAUAAAUGCACCAGUGACUUUGCUGCUAGUAGCUUUCUGUAAUCUCACGAGGAAGCAACCUUGAAGCUGCCUGUGCCUCUUUCUGCCCACUAACCUAAUUAUGUCAUCUUCUCUAAUAAAAGCUAUGUGGGCUAAAGCCUCGGGGCCUUUGUUCUAAGAAGCAGAGUGCCUCCUGGUCUCCCAAUUUUCUAAAAUGUAGAAGUCUCAUAUGCCGUCCUGUCCCUCUUCAGGAUCUCCGUUGACCUGCAACGCUGGACACAGCACACAGGUGUUAGAAGGACUGCCUGAUAUAGUGUUGACACAGAGCAUUUUUUCUUUUUGGCUUCCUGGAGCUAUCACUUCUGUGCCCCAUGAGGCUGAAAUGGAAAGUGGGCUCUGGGUGAAUUCACAGUCAAACCCCCAAAGAGGACUCUGCAAUUCUUUUAAUUUAUAUGGACAGAAAACAGCAAAGAAACACACUCUCUUAAGUCAGUGUUUGGACAAAGCCACUAAACAUCUAUAGCACCCAGUGCUCAGACAAUCAUGUAGGCCACUGUUGCUUAGGGCUUUCCUUCCAUACAUCAAAGCCCACCACACUGUCUCAAUUCAUCCCCAGACAGGACUGUAAAGUGGGAUGAAAAGUUGGUACCCAUGUUGUCCUGCUGACAAAUAUGACACUGAGAGCAGCAGGCUAACAACACAUAAACUUGGAAUUCUCCUGACUCCCUGUCAGCACUCUUGCCACUGCAUAAAUAAGGAGGCCCCCACAAUGAGAGGGUAAUAAUCCCAGAAUAAGUCCCAGAUACAUACUCAGGAGGAAUCGCCCCAGUGACUUCAUAUAUUGAAAGAGUCUAUACCCCUAUGGAAGAGAUAAAUGAUUGUUUUCCUGUGAACUGUUGAAGAAGUUCCUCUGUUUUCCUCAUGAGAUCAUUGUUGUGAAAGACUUUGAAAAACAUAAAUUAGACCAAAAUAGACACGUCUCCAAAGAAGACUUACAGAGGGUCAACAGGCACAUGAAAAGAUGCUCAACAUCACUAAUUAUUAGAGAAAUGCACAUCAAACUCCAGUGAGGUACCAUCUCACACUGGUCAGAAUGGUCAUCAUUAAAAAGUCUACAAAAUACAAAUGCAGGAAAGGAUGUGGAGAAAAGGGAACAUUCCUGCACUGUUGAUGGGAAUGGAAAUUGGUAAAGCCAUAGAAAAGAGUAUGGCGUUUCCUCAAAAACUAAAAAUAGGGUUGCCACAUGAUCUAGCAAUCCCACUCGUGGGCUUUUCAGAGAAAACUCUAAUUCAAAAAGAUAUAUGCAUCCCUGUAUCCAUAGCAGUUCUAUUCACAAUAGCUGAGUCAUGGAAGCAACCUAACUGUUCAUCACAAGAUGAGCAGAUAAAGGAGAUGUGAUGUGAUGUGUGUGUAUGUGUGUGUACACAAAUAUAUGCAUACAUAACAGAGUACUCCUCAGCCUGAAAAAAAAGAAUGAAAUAAUGCCAUCUGCAGCAACAUGGAUGGACCUAGAGAUUAUCAUACUAAGUGAAGUAAAUUAGAGGAACAUAAAUAUUAUGUGAUAUCACUUAUAUAUGGAAUCUAAAAAAUGACAAAAAUGAACCUCUUUAUGAAACAGAAACAGACUCACAAAGAAAACAAACUUAUGGUUACCAAAAGGGAAAGGGAGGAGGGAUAAAUUAGGAGUUUGGGAUUAACAUGUUCACACUCUUAUAUAUAAAAUAGAAAACCAAUAAGGCCCUACUAUAUAGCACAGGGAACUAUAGUCACUAUCUUGUAAUAAGCCAUAAUGGAAAAGAAUCUGAAAAAGAAUAUAUAUAAGAAUAUAUAUAUGCACAUACACACACAUAUAUAUAUAACUGAAUCACUUUGCUAUACACCUGAAACUAACACAAUUUUGUAAAAAGAAAAAAAAAAACCAAAGUCUUAAGAAUAGCUCAUUAACAGCCUGAUUAACAGGAGUAAACUAUUGCAAAGAAUUUUUUUCAUGUGUAUGCCUUCUUAUUUCAUUGUUCUGCCAAUUUCUGAACCAAAAUAAUUAGUAUUCUUAGCUGGUUCUGGUGGUUUAUCUUUGUAAAAUUCCUCUCAACACACAUUGGCAAAGCUAAGAGUCAUUAAGUUAAUUUUAAAAGUCAGUUUAAGGAGUUCCCAUGGUGGCGCAGUGGAAAUGAAUCCAACUAGGAGUUAUGAGAUUGUGGGUUCAAUCCCUGGACUCUCUCGGUGGGUUAAAUAUCUGGUGUUGCCUUGACCUGUGGUGUGGGUCUCAGAUGCCGCUCAGAUCCUGUGUUGCUGUGGUGCAGGCCAGCAGCAGCAUUUGCAGUUCCAAUCUAACCCCUAGCCUGGGAAUUUCCAUUUGCCACACAUGCAGCCCUAAAAAGCAAAAACAAAAAAACAACAAAAAAAAACAAACACAUACAUUUGCCGGUUAUUGACAUAGAACCAAGGCCUUUUAUUUAAGUAUGAAUCUGCUGAUUGAAAUCCAGAAUCAUCUUUCUUGCAGUAAGCCAUGAGUUCCAGCCUGUACUUUAUUGAAACAGAGUGAAAACCUAGACUCCUACAGUAACCAAUUUGAAUGCAAACCUUUUAGAAAUUUAAGAUCUUUCCUAAUCUUUUAUACUUGUCUUGCCCAUACAUAAUUCAACAGGACUACGUUUUAUUUACCUUUACUGUCUCUCUGAAAUACUCAACUUAGUGUAAUAGAAAAAAUACCCUCUUUGUAUCCAUAUUCAAUAUUAUUAGUUUUAUAACAUUAAAACUAAUCUACACAAAUUAGUAAUUAUUACAGUUUUAUAUAGUAAUUUAUAUAGUUUUAUAUUUAUAACAUUAUAUAAUUACAAAAAUAUAUGCAACUGUCAUAAAUAGGUUUGGGAACCAACAACCCCUUCUUGACAAGAAAAUGAUUCAACGGAAUAUUCAUUCUAAAUCAUGGGCUUGGAAAAUAGACUUGUAGCUGCCUGAUGGGAGAGGGAGUGGGAGGGAUCGGGAGCUUGGGCUUAUCAGAUACAACUUAGAAUAGAUUUACAAGGAGAUCCUGCUGAGUAGCAUUAAGAACUAUGUCUAGACACUCAUGUUGCAACAGAAGAAAGGGUGGGGGAAAAAUGUAUACAUGUAAGGAUAACUUGAUCCCCUUGCUGUACAGUGGGAAAAUAAAAGAAAAAAAAAUUUAAAAAUUAAGAAUAUUCAUUCUAUAUUAUGACUAUAUUUAAAUUCAAUUAAAUGAUCACCUGCCUCCCUUAACCUGAUAAUAAACUUCCUGGGGACAGAGCUCCCUAAGAAACUAACACUCAGUUAACUAACAAGUCAGCCAAAACAUCCAGACUAAUUUUAGUAAAAUGUAUUUAAAAAGUGAAAUCAUCAUUAAAUCAUUCAGGUAGCGAGUCUGACUGCAGAGCCGUAGGUUCCUAUUUCAAGAUCACCUUACACUUCUGUUUUUAAACUACAAAAGAUGUUAUGUUUAAAUAUGCUUUGAAUGUAUGUAAUAAGAAGCUUGGGCUGUCACUGAAAGUAGAGUGAAGCAGAUGCAGGUUAGUAAAUGGUCUGGAAAGCUCACAAGACCACUGCUGAGGGAACCAGCAGAGCAGCGUUUAAUGAGAAGCCACAUCUUUAUUUUUAAAUUAGCAAUUAUGCUCUAAUUGAGGUAAGAGAACAUUGCAACGGAACUGCAGGGAGGCUGGUGAAGAUGGUGGUAACAAUCUCAGGAAGAUUCAUGCAGAACCAUCCACUCAACUGUCCUUCCUCUCUCUACUGUGUCAAGUGAGACAGAGUUCUCAGGAAGGAAGCAGAAACCUUCCAACAGGUGAUCAGGAAUGAAUGAACCACAGAAAGCCCUGACCCUACAGGGACAGCCUCAGAUGGAAAGCAGCUGCCAGCUGUGAGCCCCAGAAAGAUGGGACCUAAAUUCAAGACACAUUCUGAAUGGGUUUGUUUGAUCAAGCCUGAUCCGAAGAAACAUGAGGCAUCUAAAAGCCAUACCAGGCACAGUUUGAUGUUUCUCUAACUUUCUGCUAGCAUUCACAUUUCUUUAAACUUUACAUUUUUUGGAAUAUCAAAUUUUUAAAGUCUAUGUUACUAUCAAUUAUUGACUAUUUAAUUCACAAUCCUCUUUUCAUGGCAAAAAUCUGAGUAGAAAAGUGAACUCUUCUCUAUACAGCAGCUAAAGUUGAGAGCUGACUUUUCAAAGCCCUAACUCAGCCAGAACAAUUACCCAGGCAAAAGAUGAUCCAGAUUCCAGACAAAAUUAUCAAAGCAAACAGCUUCUGGAUUUGCAAGACAAAAACAUCAAAGAACCGUCAUACAGAUCUUUAAGUGACUCAUUAACAUAUUAAGUCCAAUUUACAUAUUUGGAAUUAUCUGACUGGCCACGUGAUAUCAACAUCUAUAACACAGAGGUUCAAUGAGGCUCUUAAGCAAAAGAUGAUGGAAUUUGUAAU
rnacentral:lncRNA from 1 species